rnacentral:rRNA from 1 species
AGUGAACGCUGGCGGUAGGCCUAACACAUGCAAGUCGAACGGCAGCACAGUAAGAGCUUGCUCUUACGGGUGGCGAGUGGCGGACGGGUGAGGAAUACAUCGGAAUCUACUUUUUCGUGGGGGAUAAUGUAGGGAAACUUACGCUAAUACCGCAUACGACCUACGGGUGAAAGCAGGGGAUCUUCGGACCUUGCGCGAUUGAAUGAGCCGAUGUCGGAUUAGCUAGUUGGCGGGGUAAAGGCCCACCAAGGCGACGAUCCGUAGCUGGUCUGAGAGGAUGAUCAGCCACACUGGAACUGAGACACGGUCCAGACUCCUACGGAAGGCGGCAGUGGGGAAUAUUGGACAAUGGGCGCAAGCCUGAUCCAGCCAUACCGCGUGGGUGAAGAAGGCCUUCGGGUUGUAAAGCCCUUUUGUUGGGAAAGAAAAGCAGCAGGUUAAUACCCCGCUGUUCUGACGGUACCCAAAGAAUAAGCACCGGCUAACUUCGUG